rnacentral:snRNA from 1 species
AAUAAAACAUUACAAAAAAUUAAAAUUGGAAUGAUACGAGAAGAUUAGCAUGGCCCCUGCACAAGGAUGACAUGCAAAUUUGUGAAGCAUUCCAUAUUUCU